rnacentral:rRNA from 1 species
AACGAACGCUGGCGGCAUGCCUAACACAUGCAAGUCGAACGAGACCUUCGUGGCUUGUGGUGCACGGGUGGGUAACGCGUGGGAAGGUGCCCUUAGGUUCGGUAUAACUCCCAGAGAGGGGUGUUAAUACCGGAUAAUGUAUUGGGACAAAAGAUUUUUGGCCUUUGGAUGGGCGCGCGUUGGUUUAGUUUGUUGGUAGGGUAAAAGCCUAACAUGGCUACGAUCGAUGGCUAGUCGGAGAGGAUGAUCAGUCAGACUGGGACUGCGGCACGGCCUCGAAUCUUACGGGAGGCGGCAGUAGAGAAUAUUGCGGUAUGAGCCAAAGCGAGAUCCAGCAGUGCCGCGUGAGUACUGAAGGCAUUAGUGAUGCAAAUAUCUUUUACGCGAGGUGAUACUGACAGUACCGGGAGAAUAAGCACCGGCUAACUACGUG